rnacentral:snoRNA from 1 species
CUGCAUCCUUGAAAACCCCCAGUGACUUCCUACUGCCUCUGGGACAAGAAAGGGUGCUAGAAAAACACUUAGGAUUCCAAAGCUUGGAGGCGUGACAAUUGCUCUCGGCUAUUUCACCCCUAAGACAUAA